rnacentral:rRNA from 1 species
AUACGUAGGGAGCAAGCGUUGUCCGGAUUUACUGGGUGUAAAGGGUGCGUAGGCGGCAAUGCAAGUCAGAUGUGAAAUCUAUGGGCUCAACCCAUAAACUGCAUUUGAAACUGCGUUGCUUGAGUGAAGUAGAGGCAGGCGGAAUUCCCCGUGUAGCGGUGAAAUGCGUAGAUAUUGGGAGGAACACCAGUGGCGAAGGCGGCCUGCUGGACAUUAACUGACGCUGAGGCGCGAAAGCGUGGGGAGC